AUGUCAACAACCAGGAAGAGACCUCCUCCCAGUUCUGCAGUUGGACAGAGCAAAAAGCCAUCUGGAAAGGCUCCGCUGCCCACGGAUCACCUCCCAGACGAUGAUCCCAAAGAUACCCUUCGGUGUGAGGCUUUAGAUGGUAAACCCAUGGUUUCAGAAUUUGUGGUACAUUACUACGCACAGAAGUAUGGUCAGUCUCUCUUCCUGGACCCAAAUGUGAAAGGCGGCUAUGUUGAUGUGAGAUUUGCAGACCAUAAUCAAGCACAAUUAGUUGUAGAACAACGUGAAGAGUAUCCAUUCAAAGUGACUUGGACACCUACUGUUGAUAGAUCGCAGAUGAUUACCCCUGGGAAAGUGGAAUUGUACCAACCUCCUCGUGAUCGUGAUGUCUACGAUAUGGAGCUUGCUGUCCCCAUGCCUUGGACCAAUCCUUUUCCCGUAAGAUUUGAACCUCGGAAAAUGGCUGGCGAUCCGGUGCGGCCCAUCUACCCAGAAAAAGCUCAGCCAAAUCCUCCAUUAUCGAAGCCUCCUUUCGCUCAGCCUAUUUGGCCGGAUCCACCAUCACGUGACCAUUUCAUCAAGUACUACAUGACCAACGUCCCGGAACCAGAUCCUUCUACAUGA
rnacentral:rRNA from 1 species